rnacentral:tRNA from 1 species
UGGGCUGUAGUUUAGUGUUAAGAGUGCUUUUUUGGCAUGAAAGAGGUCCUAGGUUCAAUCCCUAGUACCAUAU